CCUCCAUGCUGCCUCUGUCUUCAAUGCGAACUAAGCGGGUGUCAGGAGUGACAAGCGUGGACAAGGAAAGAAGACGAGGAAGAAAGAGCGGAGCGAGCGCGUGGAGCCGCCAUCUUGGAGAAGGGGCGCGCGCAGAGAAGGACGUGGUGACCGGGCGCAGCGUUCCAAGAGAAGACGGCCGGAGAUCGCCUGUCUGGGUCCUGCCCCAGAUCUUAGGCGGCACAUCGACGUCCCGCCUGAGUACCAGGCUCGGCGAGCAGAUGUCCGACGUCCCUGGAACCACCGCUGCCCCUAUGAAAAUGGUUCAUCAGUUGCCUGGGCUCCUGCUCGUCCUUGGUUCCUGCGUCAUAAGCGGCCACCGUGGGUUAAUUUCCACGCGCACUUGCACUCAUUGCGAGUGCAUCCAAGCAUUUGCGUCCUGUACUGCCCGCUCCGUCUGCGUCGAUUUUACGUGACGAUCAACGAGGACCAUAUAGGGACGCACACAACGGCAGUGACUCAAUUUGGCAGCAGCAGGUGCGGAGGCAUGUCUCCCUUCUAAGAUAAUUCUUCUCGUCAACAGCGGUCAUCUUUAGAAGUCAACACAGGAGGUCGAAUACAACGGCGUUAUUUCUUCCGCAAGGUCACAGGGGCAGCCUCACGAGAAACGACCGUGGAUUCGUGCUAGGGUCGUAGCGCGUUGCUGAAUUUUGUAACAGAUCGGAGGGCAGCAGCUGGACCACGAACGGCUCGA